rnacentral:rRNA from 1 species
ACGUAGGGUCCAAGCGUUAAUCGGAAUUACUGGGCGUAAAGCGUGCGCAGGCGGUUGUGCAAGAACGAUGGGAAAUACCCGGGCUUAAACUGGGAAUUGCAUUGGUGACUGCACGGCUAGAGUGUGUCAGAGGGGGGUAGAAUUCCACGUGUAGCACUGAAAUGCUUAGAGAUGUGGAGGAAUACCGAUGGCGAAGGCAGCCCCCUGGUAUAACACUGACUCUCAUGCACGAAAGCGUGUGGAUCAAACAU